rnacentral:lncRNA from 1 species
AAAAGGACAAAUCAGGAAAAUACUGUACAUAGUGCUUUAAUCGUGUUGUGUGAGGACGAAAAGCAUCCUAGCAGAAGAGGCAGCUCCGCAGAGGUGGCUAGGUGAGGCACACCCCCCAACAACCAUGGGGUGGGGGUGGCCUGCCUGAGUCUGGAGGCCUCCCUCGGAUCUAAGCGGCCCUUUGAUCUUGAGGGCACGUUUGGGGGAGGAGGGGUGGCCUCCAGAGUAGGGAGCCUCCCACAGUGGCACAGCCCACCUUUUCUUUCUUUCCUUUCUCUCAUGUGACACUUUUGCUUCCAUCUCUGAGCACCUAAGUCCCUAACAGGAUGAGGAAGGGGAGCAGGAGGGCCAGGAGGUCGGGUUAUCAGGUCCCCAUAUUCAGGGCUCAGUGGAGUCCCAGAGCCAUCCCACCGAGGCUGGCCCUCCUGGCUCUGGGGAUGGGCCGCUCCCGCCUGGGUGACUGGGUGAUGAGGAGGCUCGGGCUCCCACACCACCCUGGGCUGCUGGCAGCAGGAGCGGGCUGACCCCUGCAGACGAGAUGGGGCUCCUUGACCCCUGGACUCAGGCCUGCCAGCCUGGGGGAUGCUGCCCAGAGCUGCAAAGGCCACCAGUUCCCAGGGCUUGCUGUGUAUGCCCCUGGGGAGCGGGCAGGGGCACCCACGUCAGCCUCAGCACAAUGGGCUGCAUGGGUGGACAGGUGUGGUUGCACAGGGACCCAGCCGCCUGUUCUCCAGUACCUCCCUCCUUGCCCUGUGUCCUCCGCUAGGGCUGGGGGCAGGACGCCGUGGCCUAGGUGUGCCCGUGCCUCUCCCCCCUAAUUGAAAAGCUUGUCUUUUCCUUUCUCUGCUGUGGGCCUCACCGCAGAGAACAAGAGUCCGCAGGCCUGGUAGGAAGCAGCGAUGGCAGCAGGACCGCAAGGUCUACCAGCCCUGGGAUUCACAAGGCAGGCAGGGGCCCAAACAGGCCCGGCUCUGGCUGUUUGGCUGGUUUGUCUGUUCCCUUCAUGGCCUCGAUCAUACCUGCACCUGUCAAGGGACAUUUCCGGCUGGAGCAGACACCCAGGAGAAUCCUGGCUCUCCUGGCCUUAUCCAAUUGAAGAGGACAGCUGUCAGAAGGAGGCUGGCUCAGUCCUCUGGACUCACGGGAGGCCAUGCAGCUAGUGGGUGGCACAGCAAGGAUGGCCUGGGACUCACUCCUGCCAGGAAGGUGCUGGAUGAACUGAAACCGGGGUCCCUAUUCCUGCUUAGGGAGCACCAGGGGAGGGGCCGCUCUGCUGAUCCUGGCUGUCCUGGGAGGACAGGCGGGGCCCACCCGGAGAAAUAGUGACAUGUCUCGCUGAAGGAGCACAGAUCAUCUUGGGGAAAGGAUGGAUGAGGAACAAGAGAAGGAGCCCGGCUGUCUCUCAUGCACACCCUUGGUACCUUUCACUCUCGUACUAUGUGUGUUCAUUAUUAAAAAAAAAAGAUUUAAAAAACAGUGUUAACUUAAUUUUCUUAAAAUAAAACACUGGAGGGAUGCCUGGGUGGCUCA